GUUAAAGUUGGGAGAAAGUUUCAAAAGAUUAACAAUUUGAGAAGGUUUGUGUGAAAGUGGAGAGGAACAGACUUCUUCAUGAGGAGUCAAGGUCUUGACACCAGUCCCAGUGAGUCUGUGGUGGCUCUCUUCCAUUUCAGCAAUUUGUCCUAUGAUAUGGAAGGCCUUUGAUUAUGGAGUCACACUAAUCCUUGAGGAAAGAGGAAUGAGCCAUAUGUGCUGUAAAAGAGAUAAAGUUGGUCUUUUGACUCUGGACUUGAGGACACCUAGUGACAUCCCAUGCAUUGCCCUUUGGAAAAUACUGCUUUAGCAAGAAGAACCAGGAAGCGCAUAUUCAAAUGUAAAGAGA